rnacentral:rRNA from 1 species
UCAUAAAGUAAAAUGUACUCAUUAAGAACAAAUUCAUCUCAGAAACUAAGCAGGGUCAGGCCUGGUUAGUACUUGGAUGGGAGACCACCGAGGAAUACCAGGUGCUGUAGGCG